GCCCGGCUAGCUCAAUCGAUCGGUAGAGCGUGAGACUCUUAAUCAGGUGUGUCAGGUUCUGAAUGUCUCCUUGAGGGAUCUCAAGGUUGUGGGUUCGACCCCCACGUCGGGCU